GGUUACUAUGGUAACAGACUGGCACAGAAAAAGACCCGCGACCACUUAAUGGUUUUCUUGUGAAACACAUCAGUCAUAGUUACUACGUAUUUACAAUGUCAGAUACGGGAUCAGAGAAUUUAGAAGAGCCGAUUUACCUUGGAGAGUAUCAUGGCGAUAGAAACGACGUUGGGGAGAGACACGGAGUCGGGAAGGCAGUGCUCCCCAACGGAGAUACCUAUCAUGGAGUAUAUGAAAACGGCAAAAGGAGCGGAACUGGAACUUACCUUUUUAAAAAUGGAGCUUGUUACAUUGGAGAAUAUCACAUGAACAAGAAACAUGGGCAGGGAAUUCUCUACUACCCCGAUGGAUCCAAAUAUGAAGGAGGAUGGGUGAAUGACCAACGGCAGGGUCACGGUGUCUACACAUAUAACAAUGGAGACACAUAUGAUGGAGAAUGGUUGCAAAAUCAGAGGUAUGGGCAUGGUGUUUACACCUAUCAUGAGACUGGCUCCAGGUAUGUGGGUACCUGGAUGUUUGGAAAGAUUGAAUCACCAGCAGGCGAGUUUGUCCAUCUCAACCACAAAUAUCAAGGAAACUUUAACAAUAAUAAUCCUUCUGGCCCAGGGAGGUAUGUGUUUGACAUUGCUUGUGAGCAGCAUGGAGAAUUCGGUCAAAUAGAUCAGUUUCUUUUCCUAGAUGUUGAAGUGGAACUUGGGCAGAGGGGGCCCUUGUCCAGCUUAGUGCCAGCUCCCAAUAUAUACCAACUUUCAGUUCUAUAUGUGUCUUAGUUAUUUUUAAACUUUAGUUAUCCUGCAUCUUAUGAAGUCCAUCCUUAACUGAUGCUGACAUUUGGUGACAGGAAAGGGUGCAUGAUGAAGAAGAAGACCCUGUUACUGCUGUACAUCUAAAGUGGCAUCCAGUUUCUAUCUCUGGUCUUAGACACUAGCGCACCAGCCUAGUUAAAAGAUCUCCUUCCCAGAUGGCAUGUGAGAGGCUGCAUUAAAUUGCUACUCCAGGGAUAAACACUGAUGAACUACCCAGAAGACUAAAGAGCAGAGGAAGAUUGACUUCAGAGCAGUCUUUGUCUGCAGUCUUUGUUUUUUGUAUGUGCCAUGUUUUGUUCUAAUAAUGAUUAUUAUGGCUGGAGAAAGUUCUUGAUUUCACUUCUGUUGAUUUUGUUAGCUGCUAUGUUAAAUUAAAUAAUUUAGAGUAGGGAUUUACAACAGCUUGAUGUCUGUGAACUGGUUUACAUCAUAGACUGGUAAAACAGCUAUGGGUGUGGGUAAGGGGUAUCAGUGGGUCAAUCAGAGAUUUUGUUUGUAAGUUUAAUUGUUUCCAUUUUUUCUAAUGCAAAUGGAAUGCGCAAAUGUGAUGGGUUGUAAAAAAUAAAAAAAUAUAUAGUU